CGACAGGGAGCGGAACCCGAAAGCCUGUCUCAGUUCGGAUUGGAGUCUGCAACUCGACUCCAUGAAGCUGGAUUCGCUAGUAAUCGCGCAUCAGCCAUGGCGCGGUGAAUACGUUCCCGGGCCUUGUACACACCGCCCGUCAAGCCAUGGGAGCCGGGGGUGCCUGAAGUACGUGACCGCGAGGAGCGUCCUAGGGCAAAACUGGUGACUGGGGCUAAGUCGUAACAAGGUAGC
rnacentral:rRNA from 1 species